rnacentral:rRNA from 1 species
GACGAACGCUGGCGGCGUGCCUAAUACAUGCAAGUAGAACGCUGAAGGAGGAGCUUGCUCUUCUGGAUGAGUUGCGAACGGGUGAGUAACGCGUAGGUAACCUGCCUGGUAGCGGGGGAUAACUAUUGGAAACGAUAGCUAAUACCGCAUAAGAGUAGAUGUUGCAUGACAUUUGCUUAAAAGGUGCAAUUGCAUCACUACCAGAUGGACCUGCGUUGUAUUAGCUAGUUGGUGGGGUAACGGCUCACCAAGGCGACGAUACAUAGCCGACCUGAGAGGGUGAUCGGCCACACUGGGACUGAGACACGGCCCAGACUCCUACGGGAGGCAGCAGUAGGGAAGCUUCGGCAAUGGACGGAAGUCUGACCGAGCAACGCCGCGUGAGUGAAGAAGGUUUUCGGAUCGUAAAGCUCUGUUGUAAGAGAAGAACGAGUGUGAGAGUGGAAAGUUCACACUGUGACGGUAUCUUACCAGAAAGGGACGGCUAACUACGUG